CGCAUUACAUGCAGUCGAGCGAGAAUUUAUGGACGAUAUCUCCAUUGAGUUUGUGGAUGGAAAGCGGCGGACGGCUGAUUAACGCGUAGGUAACCUGCCCCACUACAGAAGGAUAGCCACUGGAAACGGUGAUUAGUACCUCAUAAAACUGAGAAUACACCUGUAUGCUCAUCCUUUCAUUUAUCGGUAUGGGAUGGACCUGCCUCUGAUUAUUUACUUGGUGAGGUAACGGCUCACCAACGCGACGAUCAUUAGCCGACCUGAUAGGGUGAUCGGCCGCCUUGUAACUGAUACACAGUCCAUACUCCUACUGGAGGCAGCAGUGGGGAAUAUCACACAAUGGGCGAAAACCUGAUGCUGCAACGCCGCGUGAACGAUGAAGGCUCUUGGGUCUUAGAGUUCUGUUCUGAGGGAAGAAGAUAGUGACGGUACCUCACGAGAAAGCCCCGGCUAACUACGUGCCAGCAGCCGCGGUAAUACGUAGGGGGCAAGCGUUGUCCGGAAUUAUUGGGCGUAAAGAGUACGUAGGCGGUUUGUUAAGCUGCAAGUGAAAGGCAUAGGCUCCACCUCUGUGAUCCUUGCGAACUGUGCACACUUGAGUGCGCGAGAGGAAAGCGUGAAUUCUUAUUGUAUCGGUGAAAUGCGUAUAUAUUAUGAGGAACACCGGUGUGCGAAAGCGGCUUUCUGGACUGAGACUGACACUGAGGUACUAAAGCGUGUGGAGCACACACGAUUAUAUACCCUGUGAUU
rnacentral:rRNA from 1 species